GACCCAGUGGUGUAUGUUGCACGCCCACGACAAAUACAAAGAAAAGAAUAAAAUUUCGUGGGAGGUCCCCGUUCGAUUCGGGGUUGGGUCG